GACGAACGCUGGCGGCGUGCUUAACACAUGCAAGUCGAACGGAAAGGCCCUGCUUUUGUGGGGUGCUCGAGUGGCGAACGGGUGAGUAACACGUGAGUAACCUGCCCUUGACUUUGGGAUAACUUCAGGAAACUGGGGCUAAUACCGGAUAGGAGCUCCUGCUGCAUGGUGGGGGUUGGAAAGUUUCGGCGGUUGGGGAUGGACUCGCGGCUUAUCAGCUUGUUGGUGGGGUAGUGGCUUACCAAGGCUUUGACGGGUAGCCGGCCUGAGAGGGUGACCGGCCACAUUGGGACUGAGAUACGGCCCAGACUCCUACGGGAGGCAGCAGUGGGGAAUAUUGCACAAUGGGCGGAAGCCUGAUGCAGCAACGCCGCGUGCGGGAUGACGGCCUUCGGGUUGUAAACCGCUUUCGCCUGUGACGAAGCGUGAGUGACGGUAAUGGGUAAAGAAGCACCGGCUAACUACGUGCCAGCAGCCGCGGUGAUACGUAGGGUGCGAGCGUUGUCCGGAUUUAUUGGGCGUAAAGGGCUCGUAGGUGGUUGAUCGCGUCGGAAGUGUAAUCUUGGGGCUUAACCCUGAGCGUGCUUUCGAUACGGGUUGACUUGAGGAAGGUAGGGGAGAAUGGAAUUCCUGGUGGAGCGGUGGAAUGCGCAGAUAUCAGGAGGAACACCAGUGGCGAAGGCGGUUCUCUGGGCCUUUCCUGACGCUGAGGAGCGAAAGCGUGGGGAGCGAACAGGCUUAGAUACCCUGGUAGUCCACGCUGUAAACGGUGGGUACUAGGUGUGGGGUCCAUUCCACGGGUUCCGUGCCGUAGCUAACGCUUUAAGUACCCCGCCUGGGGAGUACGGCCGCAAGGCUAAAACUCAAAGGAAUUGACGGGGCCCCACACAAGCGGCGGAGCAUGCGGAUUAAUUCGAUGCAACGCGUAGAACCUUACCUGGGUUUGACAUGGAUCGGGAGUGCUCAGAGAUGGGUGUGCCUCUUUUGGGGUCGGUUCACAGGUGGUGCAUGGCUGUCGUCAGCUCGUGUCGUGAGAUGUUGGGUUAAGUCCCGCAACGAGCGCAACCCUUGUUCACUGUUGCCAGCACGUUAUGGUGGGGACUCAGUGGAGACCGCCGGGGUCAACUCGGAGGAAGGUGGGGAUGACGUCAAGUCAUCAUGCCCCUUAUGUCCAGGGCUUCACGCAUGCUACAAUGGCUGGUACAGAGAGUGGCGAGCCUGUGAGGGUGAGCGAAUCUCGGAAAGCCGGUCUCGGUUCGGAUUGGGGUCUGCAACUCGACCUCAUGAAGUCGGAGUCGCUAGUAAUCGCAGAUCAGCAACGCUGCGGUGAAUACGUUCCCGGG
rnacentral:rRNA from 1 species